rnacentral:tRNA from 1 species
GGUCUUGUAGUCAAAACAACAUGAUGUCAAAUUGCAAAUUUGAAGGUGAAAAACGUUUCUAAGGCUU